CCUCCCUCCACAUUCUUAUUUAGGGCCCCCACCUGUCGCACAGGGGUGGGGGCAAUAGGUUUUUUUUUGUUGUUUUUUUACAGUGAGCAGCCACUGGCUGCUCACUGUUUACUAGACUCGCCCCUACUCGCGGUAUAGCGAGUAGGGGCUGAAUUUACUAAUACUAAGUAAUCGUUACUUAGUAUUAGUAAAUGUGGCUGAAAGACCACUUUAGGUCUUUCAGCCUUUUGGUAGAU